CUUCAACUAUUGCAAGACUCGCAAUAAGAUCACAAGCAUUGGAAAUGGCUUUGCUUCAGCAAGAGAGAAUCAAUAAGUACAUGCUGAUUUUUGACAAGAUAUAUAGUCAUGGUUAUUCACGCCGGCUACAGUACCUGCCAAUCAAUAUUUCUUUUUCUCAAGUUUGGUGCAGAAAGGGGAAGGGAGGGACAGGAGCUGAAAGAUGACACAAUGGCUUAGAGGACUGUUACUUAAGGAGUUGGCAGAGCUUCUCCUACUGAGCUGCGUCAAGGAUCUUUCCUUAUCCUUGAUAUCUGGUUUAGGAGAGU